rnacentral:lncRNA from 1 species
CUAACCAGCUGCACUCAGAGCUUGCAGGAAGAUCACUAGCUGGACUUAAACCCGGUUCUGUGCUGGAAGGCGGUGAGAAGAAGAUCAGAACAGUUAUGAGAAAAAGAGCUGCUAAGAGAAACUGGAGGAUAAACAGAUAAACAGCAGAAAGAGAGGAUGGAUAAACCGCAGAAAAAGAAGAUGGAUAAACAGCAGAAUAAGAAGAGUGCAGCCAAUAGGACAGAAGUUGAUGAGAGACCGACAGAUGAUGGAAAGAGUAGUAGCAGUGAAAUAAAGAGGAGCAGAAGUUUACCACGACUCAUUAAUUUCUGUGAUGUUCAGAUGAAGGAUUCUUAAAGCUGAAUUCUCCUGAUCAGAUUGUGCUGAAGAGUUUCUACUUAAACCUUUAUAUAUCUGUCUACUUUACAUCAGUUCAUCAUGUUUAUAUUCACUAACACAAUUAUUCAGAGCAAUAAACAUGCAUGAAGUAUCAUUUUUACCUUAUUUAAAAAAUUCUAUUAAGACAUAAAUGUGAAUUUGUUGAUUUGAUAACCUUACAAACUUUAUAUUUAAACCUUGAUGAACACACACUGUUAGAUUCUGUUUUACUGCACUUUUCCAACUCCUAAUAUACAAUCUCUCCUGAUUACUUAAUAAGAAAAAUACUAAUAAUGUUUUAAUAAUGUUUUUAUGUGCAUCUGCGCAUAGAAUGUGUUUUUCUG